GUGGCAUAAGAGGUAGAUGAAAGAAAACGGGAGAGUUGAGAGAAAAGAUGGAGAAGAAAACAAAAUUAAUUGAUUUCCUUAGCUACUAGGGAAGCUAACAAUAGUCAAAAGCGAGGAGAAAUGAGAUUUGAGUGAAUUUAGGAAAAGAAAAGGAAAGAAGGGGAACAAAGGCAGUGAAAAUGAAAGAAUCUUAUGCAUAAUGCAACUAUUUUAGGAGAAAAUGG
rnacentral:lncRNA from 1 species